rnacentral:ncRNA from 1 species
CGAAAAGGCAAACUCUCUGAAAGGGGAGGACGCAAAGCUACGGGCCUAAGGACAAAAGGGAGGAGUCUAAGGCAGCCGGGUCGCCGA